GAUGAACGCUGGCGGCGUGCCUAAUACAUGCAAGUCGAGCGAACGGACGAGAAGCUUGCUUCUCUGAUGUUAGCGGCGGACGGGUGAGUAACACGUGGAUAACCUACCUAUCAGACUGGGAUAACUUCGGGAAACCGGCGCUAAUACCGGAUAAUAUUUUGAACCGCAUGGUUCAAAAGUGAAAGACGGUCUUGCUGUCACUUCUAGAUGGAUCCGCGCUGCAUUAGCUAGUUGGUAAGGUAACGGCUUACCAAGGCAACGAUGCAUAGCCGACCGGAGAGGGUGAUCGGCCACACUGGAACUGAGACACGGUCCAGACGCCUACGGGAGGCAGCAGUAGGGAAUCUUCCGCAAUGGGCGAAAGCCUGACGGAGCAACGCCGCGUGAGUGAUGAAGGUCUUCGGAUCGUAAAACUCUGUUAUUAGGGAAGAACAUAUGUGUAAGUAACUGUGCACAUCUUGACGGUACCUAAUCAGAAAGCCACGGCUAACUACGUG
rnacentral:rRNA from 1 species